rnacentral:rRNA from 1 species
ACAAGCGGUGGAGCAUGUGGUUAAUUCGUAAGCAACGCGAAGAACCUUACCAGGUCUUGACAUCCCGAUGCUAUUUCUAGAGAUAGAAAGUUACUUCGGUACAUCGGUGACAGGUGGUGCAUGGUUGUCGUCAGCUCGUGUCGUGAGAUGUUGGGUUAAGUCCCGCAACGAGCGCAACCCCUAUUGUUAGUUGCCAUCAUUCAGUUGGGCACUCUAGCGAGACUGCCGGUAAUAAACCGGAGGAAGGUGGGGAUGACGUCAAAUCAUCAUGCCCCUUAUGACCUGGGCUACACACGUGCUACAAUGGUUGGUACAACGAGUUGCGAGUCGGUGACGGCGAGCUAAUCUCUUAAAGCCAAUCUCAGUUCGGAUUGUAGGCUGCAACUCGCCUACAUGAAGUCGGAAUCGCUAGUAAUCGCGGAUCAGCACGCCGCGGUGAAUACGUUCCCGGGCCUU